CCUACGGGGGGCUGCAGUCGAGGAUCUUCGGCAAUGGGCGCAAGCCUGACCGAGCGACGCCGCGUGCGGGAUGAAGGCCUUCGGGUUGUAAACCGCUGUCAGGGGGGAUGAAAUCAUGGUGGGUACUCCCAUCAUGUUGACAGAGCCCCAGAGGAAGCGCGGGCUAAGUUCGUGCCAGCAGCCGCGGUAAUACGAACUGCGCGAACGUUAUUCCGAAUCACUGGGCUUAGAGGGAGCGAAAGUAGGGUCGGAAAUGCCUUGGCUCAACCAAGGCACAGAGCUCUAAACUACUUUGCGUGAGUGAGUCAGGGGUGCACGGAACUUCCGGUGGAGCGGUGAAAUGUGUUGAUAUCGGAAGGAACACCGGCGGCGAAAGCGGUGCACUGGGGCUUAACUGACACUGAGGCACGAAAGCCAGGGGAGCGAACGGGAUUAGAUACCCCGGUAGUC
rnacentral:rRNA from 1 species